UACAGGGGGGGCAAGCGUUGUUCGGAAUUACUGGGCGUAAAGGGCUCGUAGGUGGCCAACUAAGUCAGACGUGAAAUCCCUCAGCUUAACUGGGGAACUGCGUCUGAUACUGGAUGGCUUGAGUUUGGGAGAGGGAUGCGGAAUUCCAGGUGUAGCGGUGAAAUGCGUAGAUAUCUGGAGGAACACCGGUGGCGAAGGCGGCGCUCUGGACCGAGACUGACGCUGAGGCGCGAAAGCGUGGGGAGCAAACAGG
rnacentral:rRNA from 1 species